GAUGAACGCUAGCGGCAGGCUUAAUACAUGCAAGUCGAGGGGCAGCAGGUCUGUAGCAAUACAGAUGCUGGCGACCGGCAAACGGGUGCGGAACACGUACGCAACCUUCCUUCAAGUGGGGAAUAGCCCAGGGAAACUUGGAUUAAUACCUCGUAAGAUUAUGAAGUGGCAUCACUUUAUAAUUAUAGCUCAGGCGCUUGAAGAUGGGCGUGCGGCNGAUUAGGUAGUUGGCGGAGUAACAGCCCACCAAGCCUGCGAUCAGUAACUGGUGUGAGAGCACGACCAGUCACACGGGCACUGAGACACGGGCCCGACUCCUACGGGAGGCAGCAGUAAGGAAUAUUGGUCAAUGGACGCAAGUCUGAACCAGCCAUGCCGCGUGGAGGAUGAAGGUCCUCUGGAUUGUAAACUUUCUUUUAUUUGGGAAGAAACCCAUUAUUUUCUAAUUGUGGUUGACGGUACCAGAUGAAUAAG
rnacentral:rRNA from 1 species